CUUCUUAUAUACAGUCUAUGGUGUGAACACACAACAUACUCAAAAAUUCCUUAGAAUUUGUGUGAAGAGUGUAUUUGAGACACAACAUUAGUGAUGUUUACUCACUCAGAACUAAAAAGCCAAUUGCACAGACGUUGAAAUGGCGGAUAUUCUUACCUUCUACGUACUCCAUGACCAUGCAGAGGUGCCGACGGGUUUCGAAGGAACAGAACAUGGACACAACAAAAGGAUUCUCUGCGAAGGUGACCCUCCUUGGCGUGGUCCUCUGCUGCCUCCAGCAGAUGGUAGAACUCCUCAGGAUUAAACUCCUGGAAACCAGAGCAUUAAGACCUUAACACAGUGUCAUCAGACACUCCAGCAGCCUGGCAGGUCGGGAGAUGAUGAUGAGAAGCUUCUUCGCCAACUCUGUGACAAAGGCUACCUCGGAGCUCUCUGAACGCUCAUAGCACUGACAGAGACAGACAGACAGACAGAGAGAGAGGAAGAAAGGGAGAAGAUUAAAAUUGACAUUUAUAAAAAGACAGAGUGACAAAGGCAGAACAAAAAGCUCAAAAAUCGCUCUUAAAGGGGAACAUCUGGCUCUUUAGCUGCUAACGCUCCACAGCUGCCUGCUGCUGGAAAUACAGUUUAUGAGAGCAGUGAAAAUGUAUGGCCGUAAACCUAAACAAUGAGCUGAAAAGAUGGUGAAAUGCUUCGUUAAGAAGCUUCUCCAGAUUCUCCUGCAGCUCAAAGAAGUAUACAGAGGUGAUGAGGCCCUCGCGGGCUUUGGCCAGGCAGUCUCUGGACAGCUCAGCUAUCUGGUGGUGAAUGAAGCUGAGCACUCCAUCGGCCAGCGGAAGAACAUUUUCAGGAGAGAAAGCCUGGAUGAACUCGGCCAGCCUCCCCUCCAUCUGUGCCGUUGCCUGGUGGAGAACAAAAAACACAAAAAUGCGAACAUGGAGAGUGGAAGAAGAAGCGACAGAGGAUAGGCUUAUAGAUUUCUUUAAGACCCAGAGUUAUGGAAAAUUCAGAAAGCAAUUUCAUCUGUGGCUCGGCUGAUUUACACUGACCUCAAUGCAAUGUCAUCUUUCCCCAUCUGACUUAAUUUCCUAUGGCUUUGAUUUAUAUCACCAUAUAUAUUUGAUACCAACCUCAACCCACCAAAAGAGUGAAAGAAAGAAAAAUUAGGCAAAAGAGAAAAUCUAUUUUAUUUAACAUUUAAUCACUGUGGCAGUAUUUAUGAGUGCUGUGAAUAAACUUAAU